rnacentral:rRNA from 1 species
AGCAGUAGCCGCGGUAAUACAGAGGGUGCGAUCGUUAAUCGGAUUUACUGGGCGUAAAGCGUGCGUAGGCGGCUUUUUAAGUCGGAUGUGAAAUCCCUGAGCUUAACUUAGGAAUUGCAUUCGAUACUGGGAAGCUAGAGUAUGGGAGAGGAUGGUAGAAUUCCAGGUGUAGCGGUGAAAUGCGUAGAGAUCUGGAGGAAUACCGAUGGCGAAGGCAGCCAUCUGGCCUAAUACUGACGCUGAGGUACGAAAGCAUGGGGAGCAAACAGGAUUAGAUACCCCCGUAGUCCCUGUCUCUUAUAA